UUACCUUUUCAGUUCAUUUAUCAUCGACAUUUUUCCGUUUUCUGUAUACAUUUUUAUUUUAACUUUUCUGUAUAACAUUUUCGCUCCAAACUACUCAUAUGAUACCCCUCUUGGUCCCGUCUUCAUGAAAAUGUGAGUAUUGAUAGAAAUUGAUUCGCGCGCACGCAUCUUUGUCGACCGUUCUUUUUCUUAUUACCAAUGGAUACGGUUCAGUUUUGUACGUUUUAGUACAUUUUAGCACGGUUUAGUACCAUUUAGUACGCCGUUUAGUACGAUGUACUGUCUCCUAGAAUAGUUGGAAAUCGUUGGAAAAGUUCCAGAACCAUUUUUCUAGUUUUAGUACACUUUAGUACAUUUUAGUACCGUGCGCUGCAUAGCUAUGAUGAAGUACUAAAACUUUGCUCCAGUGACCACUAUCUUAUUUGCAACAGCUGUGGAUUUAUAGAGAAAGGUAUUGAAAAAAAAUGUGAAAGAUGACACAUAAAAUGGUAAAUUAGAAAUUUGCAAAUUUUUCCACUGAAAUGAGAUGUACUGGCUAGUAAGCUACCCUCAGCAUACAAAAAAUCGAAAAAAAAUAAUCAUAUUCCUAGAAGCACUGUAAAGCAAAAUUUUCGGUUUGCCAUUAAUUUUUCAUUAAAUCAAUACAUAUAUUUUCAAGAAGGGGGACCUGGGGGGAUACCAUAUAUAUGGUUGGAAAGGUAUUGACGAGUACUAUAAUUUAUCCCAAAGGAGUGAUGCCCUAUCGCUCAUAGGUCGGGAGUAAUGACCUUAGGUAGCCACGUGAGAUUUUCAUAUUCUCCCCCCAUAAACCCCGAUUCGGAAGACCCGGGGAGAAGUACACCUAUACUAUACUGUUUUGGAAAGGAGCAUAUGACUUUGCAUACUGGAGAGGCAUAUUUGUACCAAUGCACAUUUUGCUCUAAAACAUUCAGAUCUAGCGCGAAUAUGUACGCCCAUCGGAAACGAAAUCAUCCACGAGAAUAUGAAGAGAAAAUUUGUUUGGCCAAAAUGCAGAAAACCUAAUUUAUCCUCUAUCAUUUAAUUUAGAAGCAGGUGCUUUGUAGAAAGUGGAAACAUCAAUAUAAAAAACUUCUUAUUCUUAUCUAUUGCUUGGUUUGUUUUGAUGAUAAAAAAUAGAAUGUUUAUUCGUGAUUGACUUAUUUUAAUGACAGCAUAUUUUUUCUGUUCGAUUAAUUGAGAAGAAAAUAACAAUAAAAUUGUAUAAAUUGUGUUUUUUGAGUUUCUUAAA